GUGACCUCAAAUCAGGUAGGACUACCCGCUGAACUUAAGCAUAUCAAUAAGCGGAGGAAAAGAAACUAACAAGGAUUCCCCUAGUAACUGCGAGUGAAGCGGGAAAAGCUCAAAUUUAAAAUCUGUCAGUCUUUGGCUGUCCGAGUUGUAAUCUAGAGAAGUGUUAUCCGCGCUGGACCGUGUACAAGUCUCCUGGAAUGGAGCGUCAUAGAGGGUGAGAAUCCCGUCUUUGACACGGACUGCCAGGGCUUUGUGAUGCGCUCUCAAAGAGUCGAGUUGUUUGGGAAUGCAGCUCAAAAUGGGUGGUAAAUUCCAUCUAAAGCUAAAUAUUGGCGAGAGACCGAUAGCGAACAAGUACCGUGAGGGAAAGAUGAAAAGAACUUUGGAAAGAGAGUUAAACAGUACGUGAAAUUGCUGAAAGGGAAACGCUUGAAGUCAGUCGCGUUGGCCAGGGAUCAACCUUGCUUUUGCUUGGUGUACUUUCUGGUUGACGGGUCAGCAUCAAUUUUGACUGUUGGAAAAAAAUUAAGGGAAUGUGGCAUCUUUGGAUGUGUUAUAGCCCUUGGUUGCAUACAAUGGUUGGGAUUGAGGAACUCA
rnacentral:rRNA from 1 species